UGUAUUUUUCAAUGUCAAAUAAUAAUAAAAUAAAUUUUAAUAUAGCCCAAAAAAUGAAAAAAAAAAUUGGGAAUUGGGCAACCCUAAUUAGUUAAAGAGUUUAAAAAAUAAUGUACGACCAAUUCUCAGACCUACUAAAUGUGCACAACAAUUUUGUUAGUGCUUCAGUAUUGUGCGUGUCUCCGAACCCCCGACACUGGAGGAAACCCUACUGAGGGCGUUGAGUGAGGGAUGUUUAAUGACAUUUAGCCUUUGACCGAUUAAAACGCAAAUUAGAACGCUGUGUUAAAAUUAACAAGUUGAAUUUACUACGAUUAGGGGCAUGACUAUAUCCAACCUAUGUUCCCACAGUGGCCUAUGUCCAAAAGUGGACUGUGAUAGGCUGUAAUGAUGAUGACUACAUCAAGUGAUAGCGAUGAAUCACUAUUUUCUUAACGCGAAUAGACUAGACACGAAGGCACUGGAAAAGAAUACCAUUUAAUAGUUUAACAUGUAAAUGAUUGUUUUAAAUAUGAUAAUAUAAUAGUUAUGGACUAAAGUCAGUUUCUUUUUGGUUUGGUUUGAUUACCUCUAAGCUGUGUGCUGCUGUUCUUUACUAAGAUUGGUAUGAUACAGGAGUGGGGACACGGGCGAGAAAUAGUCCUCUCGGGUCUGCAUUUGCAUUAAUAGUUUACGCCUGGAGUAUGUUUUUAAUGAAUUACAAAUUGCACAAUCAGAGAAAACUGUUUUCUGAUCUAUUAAAAAAAAUUUUUUUUGGAGUUAUACUUUUGGCGCGUCAGGGAAAAUGAUCAGAGUAAUUUUUUUCGAUGCGCGCGCACACCGUCACAAUAAACCGACACCCCCAAGUUGGCUAGUGAACGAUGAAGUUAGCAACGUGAAGUUAGCUAGCCGAUGACGUAUAACUUAUUACAUGCGUACAUAAGUACACACUUUUUUAAAUAAAUGAAAUGAUAUUAUAUAAAAAACGUAUAAUUGUCUGUGUAAUUGUUUUUUCUGCAUUACUAUGACGGAAUUCUGUAGUUUUAAUGUAAGGGGUCUUCCAUGAAUCACGUAAGGCUCGAAAGGGGUUUGGAAAAAAUGACGAAACAUCACAUGGACGGGGGGGGGUCGCUAAUGAGAAGUCACGUGUAUUCUAAACGAACUACCAAUAAAGACCUUGCAACCUUGAUGCCAGUCUAGAAGUUUGUAGCACUAUGCUUCAUUUUAUAAUAUUUAAUUUCAAUUUAUUUUUCACAACGAAAUACAUCUGAUUUUUUAAGUGUAGAAUCUCACCACGUAUCACCACGCUGGGC